UACUCUGCAUUUUUGCAUGUUAGAAAGGAGGAAAGAAUCACGGAAAAAAGAAAGGAAAAGAAAAAAAUGGAACCUAUAGG
rnacentral:ribozyme from 14 species